UACGGAGGGUGCGAGCGUUGUCCGGAAUCACUGGGCGUAAAGGGCGCGUAGGCGGCGCGGGAAGUCAUCGGUGAAAGUUCAGGGCUCAACUCUGAAUCGGCCGGUGAUACUCUCGUGCUCGAGCACUGUAGAGGCAGGUGGAAUUCCGGGUGUAGCGGUGGAAUGCGUAGAGAUCCGGAAGAACACCGGUGGCGAAGGCGGCCACCUAGCCCGCACCUGACGCUGAGGCGCGACAGCGUGGGGAGCGAACUGG
rnacentral:rRNA from 1 species